rnacentral:rRNA from 1 species
UGAGUACGAGAUGCUACGGCAUCGAAGCAGUCUAUGUCAUACUUCCAAGAAAAGCUUGCACUGUCAUAAACAAAGAAUGCCUGUACCAUAACCGACACAGGUGGGUAGGUAGAGUAUACUAAGGGGCGCGAGAUAACUCUCUCUAAGGAACUCGGCAAAAUGACUCCGUAACUUCGGGAGAAGGAGUGCCUUAUUUCUAAGGUUGCAAUAACAAGAUCCAAGCAACUGUUUACCAAAAACACAGGUCUCCGCUAAGUCGUAAGACGAUGUAUGGGGGCUGGCGCCUGCCCAGUGCCAGAAGGUUAAAGAAGUUGGAUAGCAUUAGCGAAGCUGAUAACUGAAGCCCUGGUGAACGGCGGCCGUAACAAUAACGGUCCUAAGGUAGCGAAAUUCCUUGUCGGGUAAGUUCCGACCCGCACGAAAGGCGUAAUGAUUUGGAUACUGUCUCGGAGAGGGGCUCGGUGAAAUAGACUUGUCUAUGAAGAUGCGGACUACCUGCACCUGGACAGAAAGACCCUAUGAAGCUUUACUGUAACUUGAGAUUGAAAUUGGACUUUAUUUGCGCAGUAUAGGUGGGAGGCGUUGAGAAUAAUCUUGCGGGAUUGUUGGAGCCAUCAGUGAGAUACCACUCUUGUAAUGUUAGAUUUCUAACUUUGUAUCAUUAUCUGGUCAAAGAACAGUUUCAGGCGGGCAGUUUGACUGGGGCGGUCGCCUCCCAAAGGGUAACGGAGGCGCACAAAGGUUUCCUCUGAACGGGUAGAAAUCGUAUCUAGAGUGUAAAGGCAUAGGGAAGCUUGACUGUGAGACCUACAAGUCGAGCAGGGACGAAAGUCGGUCUUAGUGAUCUGACGGUGCUGAGUGGAAAGGCCGUCACUCAACGGAUAAAAGUUACUCUAAGGAUAACAGGCUGAUCUCCCCCAAGAGUUCACAUCGACGGGGAGGUUUGGCACCUCGAUGUCGGCUCAUCGCAUCCUGGGGCGGUAGUCCGUCCCAAGGGUUGGGCUGUUCGCCCAUGAAAGCGGUACGCGAGCUGGGUUCAGAACGUCGUGAGACAGUUCGGUCCAUAUCCGGUGUAGGCGUUAGAAUAUUGAGAGGAGCCUUCUCUAGUACGAGAGGACCGAGAAGGACAUACCUCUGGUGUACCAGUUAUCGUGCCAACGGUAAACGCUGGGUAGCUAUGUAUGGAGUGGAUAACCGCUGAAAGCAUCUAAGUGGGAAGCCCACCUCAAGAUAAGUAUUCUCAUC